rnacentral:piRNA from 1 species
UGCUGAGAACAGUGGCCCCUUGCAAGC